ensembl:snRNA Gm24393 predicted gene, 24393
GUGCUUGCUUUGGCAGCACGUACGCUAAAAGUUUAAAGACACAGAGAUUAGCAUGGCCAAAGAAUGACAUGGAAAAUCUGAGACGUUUCAUAGUUUU